ACGUACGGCCAUACCACCCUGACCACACCUGAUCUCUUCUCACCUUGGAAGCUAAGUAGGAUUGUACCUGGUUAGUACUUGGAUGGGAGACCUCCUGGGAAUACUGGGUGCUGUAGGCU
rfam:Myotis davidii contig17704, whole genome shotgun sequence.